AAGACAAUAGCUUAACGUAAAGCUUUCUGCUCAUAACGGACACGAUGGAAGUUCGACUCUUCCUUGUCUUA